rnacentral:rRNA from 1 species
CAACUCGGCUGCAUGAAGCUGGAAUCGCUAGUAAUCGCCAGAUCAGAAUGCUGCGGUGAAUACGUUCCCGGGUCUUGUACACACCGCCCGUCACACCAUGGGAGUUGGAAAUGCCCGAAGUCAGUGACCGAACCGAAAGGAAGGAGCUGCCGAAGGUGGAGCCGAUGACUGGGGUGAAGUCGUAACAAGGUAUC